rnacentral:rRNA from 11 species
GAUUUUGUAAAAUAAAAUGAAUAAAAUAAGAUAUGAUUUUGUAUACAAGUGGAAUGCAAAAAUAAAAUAAC